rnacentral:rRNA from 1 species
GGCAGCAGUGGGGAAUUUUGCGCAAUGGGGGAAACCCUGACGCAGCGACGCCGCGUGGAGGAUGAAGGCCCUCGGGUCGUAAACUCCUGUCAGGUGGGACGAAAUGGCAUCAGUUAAUACCUGGUGUCUUUGACUGUACCACCAGAGGAAGCUCCGGCUAACUCCGUGCCAGCAGCCGCGGUAAGACGGAGGGAGCAAGCGUUGUUCGGAAUUACUGGGCGUAAAGGGCUAGUAGGCGGCUUGGCAAGUCCGGUGUGAAAGCCCUCGGCUCAACCGAGGAAUUGCAUUGGAAACUGCUGAGCUAGAGUCCGGGAGAGGUGAGCGGAAUUCCCAGUGUAGCGGUGAAAUGCGUAGAUAUUGGGAGGAACACCAGCGGCGAAGGCGGCUCACUGGACCGGUACUGACGCUCAGAAGCGAAAGCUAGGGGAGCGAAAGGGAUUAGAUACCCCAGUAGUCCUAGCUGUAAACGAUGGGCACUUGGUGCAGGUGGUAUCGACCCCGCCUGUGCCGUAGCUAACGCGUUAAGUGCCCCGCCUGGGGAGUACGGUCGCAAGGCUGAAACUCAAAUGAAUUGACGG